rnacentral:rRNA from 1 species
UUGGACGGGACCCGCACAAGCGGUGGAUGAUGUGGAUUAAUUCGAUGCAACGCGAAAACCUUACCUACCCUUGACAUGUCCGGAAUCCCGAAGAGAUUUGGGAGUGCUCGCAAGAGAACCGGAACACAGGUGCUGCAUGGCUGUCGUCAGCUCGUGUCGUGAGAUGUUGGGUUAAGUCCCGCAACGAGCGCAACCCUUGUCAUUAGUUGCCAUCAUUUGGUUGGGCACUCUAAUGAGACUGCCGGUGACAAACCGGAGGAAGGUGGGGAUGACGUCAAGUCCUCAUGGCCCUUAUGGGUAGGGCUUCACACGUCAUACAAUGGUCGGUACAGAGGGUUGCCAACCCGCGAGGGGGAGCUAAUCCCACAAAGCCGAUCGUAGUCCGGAUCGCAGUCUGCAACUCGACUGCGUGAAGUCGGAAUCGCUAGUAAUCGUGGAUCAGCAUGUCACGGUGAAUACGUUCCCGGGUCUU